rnacentral:sRNA from 1 species
CUUAAUUUUGCCUGCUGCCGACUCCGGACUUCUCUCUCCCGCCCUGGCUGUUGUUUAUCCUGUCCACGUGUCACCUACAACUGCUUGGACAUCCCACCUCAUGUAAGUCGCUUGCACGAAUGACGAGUUCUACAAAUGCAUCAACCAAGUAGGGCGCAAACAACGACUUCUUCCAGUUACAGGCACUGGAGUUGUUCCUAGUAGAUAGCUUGGAAUCCAAGAAAUGUCGUCAGAUGCUCGAGCGCGUCCGCAAUAUUCAUUACGCGUUGUUUUGCUCGUUCUAUUGUCAGUCAGUUGGUCUGUUGUUUGUGCCCUUUUGUCCUUUUGCCUUCUGAUGCCGACUGUCUAGUUUACCCUGUGUAAUCUGUACCUUUUCCCCUAAUGACCCAAACAAGCUCGUUCCCUUCGUAUAUGGCGCCAUGCGCUUUGGGAUGUUUGGGCUUGGCUCUUCUGCCCUUUGCUCUUCUGUUCCUCGAUCCUCGAUUCUUCGCACUGCAUAUUUGGUUUCUUCCUGUUUUUCUCCGUUCAGCAAUGAAAUAACCAGUAUUAAGUUCAGAGCUCCUUAUUUGGGUUUGACGCUUGACAAUGAAGGCAUCACAUGACCGCACAUGCAUGGUCUAAUAGCGGGGGAGAGGUUAAGAAACGGAGGAGAUAAUCGUGCAAGUGAGCAAGUAAUCGCUGAUCAGGGACGCCGAGACCCCUGUCCAGGCCCCACCGGAACGGAUGGGCGGAAUCGAAGUUUGUUUUGACUGCAUAAAUAUUUAUUAUUAUUUAGGACCAUUAAUCGGUGCAAGCCGACCUUCUGUUUACCCAAGGUGGUAAAUCGUCAUUUCCUUCGUGAUGGAAGGGCGAAAGAGGAAGAAGGAAGAGGGCGAUACGAAAGGAAAUAAGGAGGAUUGCGACCCA